rnacentral:lncRNA from 10 species
GUUAUCUUUCUGUGCUGUGGAAGGUUUGUUCUUUCACUCUGCACUAUUUUGCAAUAAAUAUUGCUAUUGCUCACUUUGGGUUUAUAUUGCCUUUAUGAGCUGUAACACUCACCAUGAAGGUCUGCAGCUUUACUCUUGAAGCUUAGCGAGACCACUAACCCACCAGAAGGAAGAAACUCCGGACACGCCGCCUUUAAGAACUGUAAUACUCAGUGCGAGGGUUCACGGCUUCAUUCUUGAGAAAGACAACGAGGAGGGAGCAGCUAGAGGGGUGGAAAUGGGAUCACGUGACCUUGCGAGAAGCAGGGAGAGAGAACACUGCGUCUGCUCCCUUUUAGAACAGACCACGUUCUAGAAUUGUAGAAUCCUGGCAAGAAAAAGGCAGCUCGUCCAGCCUUCUGUCCAGUGGAACAGCCCCAGCCAGAGCAACUGACAGAUGCUCAAUAUAGGGAAUCCCUAACAGAGGACUUCCAGGAUAUCCUAGGGACAGCAGAGCCUCAAGAUCCAGGGAGGAUCCUGGAUACCUGAGUCACCACUUGGAGGGGAAUCUCCUGGAAGAACUGAUUGAUCAGCAACAUCUACAUUCAACUUGAGAUAGAUCCACCAGCUUCCACGAUGGACCUGGCUGUGGGGUCCACUGAUGCCUUCUCCUCCGUUUGUCCUCCAGCCUGAG